GCGGAAGUAGUUCAGUGGUAGAACAUCACCUUGCCAUGGUGGGGGUCGCGGGUUCGAAUCCCGUCUUCCGCUCCA
rnacentral:tRNA from 101 species